rnacentral:rRNA from 1 species
CGGGGGGGGGGGCAAGCGUUGUUCGGAAUUACUGGGCGUAAAGGGCGCGCAGGCGGGCCCGGCCAGUCCCUUGUGAAAUCCCACGGGCUCAACUGUGGAACUGCAGGGGAUACUGCCAGGCUUGAGUCCGGGAGAGGGUAGUGGAAUUCCCAGUGUAGCGGUGAAAUGCGUAGAUAUUGGGAGGAACACCGGUGGCGAAGGCGGCUACCUGGACCGGUACUGACGCUGAGGCGCGAAAGCUAGGGGAGCAAACGGGAUUAGAUACCCCGGUAGUCCUAGCUGUAAACGUUGAGCACUUGGUGUGGCGGGUAUCGACCCCUGCUGUGCCGAAGCUAACGCAUUAAGUGCUCCGCCUGGGGAGUACGGUCGCAAAGGCUG